rnacentral:rRNA from 1 species
CCGCCUGGGGAGUACGACCGCAAGGUUAAAACUCAAAUGAAUUGACGGGGACCCGCACAAGUAGUGGAGCAUGUGGUUUAAUUCGGAGAUACGCGCAGAACCUUACCAACACUUGACAUGUUCGUCGCGACUUUAAGAGAUUAAAGUUUUCGGUUCGGCCGGACGAAACACAGGUGCUGCAUGGCUGUCGUCAGCUCGUGUCGUGAGAUGUUGGGUUAAGUCCCGCAACGAGCGCAACCCUCACUUUUAGUUGCCAUCAUUAAGUUGGGCACUCUGAAAGAACUGCCAGUGAUAAGCUGGAGGAAGGUGGGGAUGACGUCAAGUCCUCAUGGCCCUUACGUGUUGGGCUACACACGUGCUACAAUGGUAUUUACAAUAGGAAGCAAAACUGCGAGGUUAAGCAAAUCCUUAAAAGAUACCUCAGUUCGGAUUGCACUCUGCAACUCGAGUGCAUGAAGCUGGAAUUAUUAGUAAUCGUGGAUCAGCGUGCCACGGUGA